GACGAACGCUGGCGGCGUGCUUAACACAUGCAAGUCGAACGGUAAGGCCCUUCGGGGUACACGAGUGGCGAACGGGUGAGUAACACGUGGGUGAUCUGCCCUGCACUUCGGGAUAAGCCUGGGAAACUGGGUCUAAUACCGGAUAGGACCAUGGACUUCACGGUUUGUGGUGGAAAGCUUUUGCGGUGUGGGAUGGGCCCGCGGCCUAUCAGCUUGUUGGUGGGGUAAUGGCCUACCAAGGCGACGACGGGUAGCCGGCCUGAGAGGGUGUCCGGCCACACUGGGACUGAGAUACGGCCCAGACUCCUACGGGAGGCAGCAGUGGGGAAUAUUGCACAAUGGGCGCAAGCCUGAUGCAGCGACGCCGCGUGAGUGAAGAAGGCCUCGGUUGUAAGACUCUUC
rnacentral:rRNA from 1 species